UCUCUCUUUCGCCAUUGCCAUGAAAGUCUAAGCUCUCUCUCUCCGUCUCUAUCUCCUCCUCUCUCUCUCCGCCUAUCUCUCUGUCUGCGUCUCUCUAUUCGGAUAUAUAAAAAAGAGAAGAGGUUUGUUAGUUUUUUGUGUCUAAGCUUGAGCUCUCUCUCUCCGUGUCUCUCUCUCUCUCCGCGUCUCUCUCUCUCGGCGUCUCUCUCUCAGGUUAUUGGUGUAGCAAUGAAAACGUAUUGCUUGGAGUGUGGGAGUUCUUGGAGUACUUAUUACAUAUAACAUUGUUUCCACCUACUGUGGAAGUUACUUGGAUUGCAAGCUAUCUUUUAAAUUUCAGUUUUAUAAAAUUUGAGUUUCUA